rnacentral:rRNA from 1 species
CCUACGGGAGGCAGCAGUGAGGAAUAUUGGUCAAUGGACGAGAGUCUGAACCAGCCAAGUAGCGUGAAGGAUGACUGCCCUAUGGUUUGUACACUUCUUUUAUAUGGGAAUAAAAUGUUCCACGUCUUGGAUUUUGUAUGUACCAUAUGAAUAAGGAUCGGCUAACUCCUUGCCAGCAGCCGCGGUAAUACGGAGGAUCCGAGCGUUAUCCGGAUUUAUUGGGUUUACAGGGAGAGUAGGUGGAAUGUUAAGUCAGUUGUGAAAUGUUGCGGCUCAACCGUUAAAGUGCAGUUGAAACUGGCAGUCUUGAGUACAGUAGAGGUGGGCGGAAUUCGUGGUGUAGCGGUGAAAUGCUUAGAGAUCACGAAGAACUCCGAUUGCGAAGGCAGCUCACUGGACUGCAACUGACACUGAGGCUCGAAAGUGUGGGUAUCAAACAGGAUUAGAGACCCCGGUAGUC